rnacentral:lncRNA from 1 species
GUCCCGAGCCCAGCCUCUCCGGGGAGGAGGGACCCGGCGGCGCGGCGUGGGUCGGGAGCGGGCGCCUGGGACUACUUCUCGUUUGAAAGUUUUCAGAGGCCAAAAGUUUGAGCCGGGGCUGCGGAAGGAUCCGGCUCUGGCGGUUGCCGCGCUCGGCGACAACUGGCGACUGAAAUUUGCAUCAGAGAAGAGAGUGGCCCAUUCGGUGUCCACCCGUCAGGCCACCCAGCAGCCAGGCACGCUCAUAAGCCCGCGUUACGGAUGGUGCGGCCGGGUGCACAGGCCCGAGGGAAGCACAGGCCUCGGCCUCCCAGCUCCCAACCCCUGCACCACCCACAGCCGGGAGUACCCCAUGGACAGCUGUGGCCGAGGAGAAGCCAGGGAUGAGGGGGAUGGGCCUCACCUCCCCACCAGCCUGGGAAGGGGGUAGGCCCCUGGCAAGUAGGCCCCUCCUUUGCGGCUGCUGUGGGGACUUUCGAGAGCAGAGCACACCCCUAAGUGCGUGGAGAGGAGGGAAGCUGAGGCUCAGAGACAUCAUGAGGAUGCCAGCUCAAGGCCCAGCCAGGCCUUGGUCCUCAGCUGCUGUCAUCCAGUAGGGUAAGUGGGACCCCCAGGAGGUGUUGGGGGACACUCCUCCCCUCCCCCACACUCACAGUCUGUUCACCGCCCAAGGCAGCAGGCUGGACUCGGUGCAGGGACCAUGGCUUGGCGUGGCCAGGUUGGAGUGGCCCCUGGGACUGAAAGCAGGGGGCGUGGGGGCUCUGAGGCGGGGCCGAGUGCGGGGACGUCCUGUGGCGGGUACCCUGCUGGGUCCUGGGUGGGGGCCACCACCAGGCAGCUGUGGGAACAUUCCAGACCACCUAGGAGUAGGGCCCCUUCACCGUUUGAAGCUGACUGUAAAAAACAUCUGACCUGUGUGCAAAGCUCAAGCCCAGAGGCCUCCAGGGUGUCCAGCCUCCAGGGUGCCUCCUACGCAGCCUCCACGUCCCCAUCCACUGCAGCCCCUGACCAUCGGGCACACCGUGGGGCCUUCGCUGGCCGCCGGGCCUCAGGUUCUGCUGCACCAAGUGAUUUUUAAAGCCCCAUCUGCCUUUCUCCACUUAUAAAGAACUUGGGACAUU